GAUGAACGCUGGCGGCGUGCUUAACACAUGCAAGUCGAACGAACCUUCGGGUUAGUGGCGGACGGGUGAGUAACGCGUGAGAAUCUGCCCUCAGGAGGGGGACAACAGUUGGAAACGACUGCUAAUACCCCAUAUGCCGCGAGGUGAAAUGAAUUUCGCCUGAGGAUGAGCUCGCGUCUGAUUAGCUAGUUGGUGUAGGUAAUGGCUCACCAAGGCAUCGAUCAGUAGCUGGUCUGAGAGGAUGAUCAGCCACACUGGGACUGAGACACGGCCCAGACUCCUACGGGAGGCAGCAGUGGGGAAUUUUCCGCAAUGGGCGAAAGCCUGACGGAGCAACGCCGCGUGAGGGA
rnacentral:rRNA from 1 species